GAUGAACGCUAGCGGGAGGCCUAACACAUGCAAGCCGAGCGGGAUUUGUUGGUUAGCUUGCUAACUAACAAUGAGAGCGGCGUACGGGUGCGUAGCACGUGUGCAACCUGCCUUUAUCUGGGGGAUAGCCUUUCGAAAGGAAGAUUAAUACCCCAUAACAUAUUGAUUGGCAUCAGUUAAUAUUGAAAGCUCCGGCGGAUAGAGAUGGGCACGCGUAAGAUUAGCUAGUUGGUGAGGUAACGGCUCACCAAGGCUGCGAUCUUUAGGGGGCCUGAGAGGGUGAUCCCCCACACUGGUACUGAGACACGGACCAGACUCCUACGGGAGGCAGCAGUGAGGAAUAUUGGACAAUGGGUGAGAGCCUGAUCCAGCCAUCCCGCGUGAAGGACUAAGGACCUAUGGUUUGUAAACUUCUUCUAUACAGGGAUAAACCUACUCUCGUGAGGGUAGCUGAAGGUACUGUAUGAAUAAGCACCGGCUAACUCCGUG
rnacentral:rRNA from 1 species